CUGGAACCAAACCUGCGAUAUCUCUAAGUUGAAGAAUUGAAGUGGAAGGAACAUGCCUUGCUCCCCAUUGCCAUCACCCAUCUUCCACUAAAGGCCAAAGAUUUGUGAAGCCUAGAGAUUGACUGAAAAGUACUUCAACUCUCCAUUGAAUGCUUGAGCGCAGACCAUCUACCCGAGCGCUCGCGUGCUGCUUUCUUCAAUGAGAACACAAUAAAUUAUAUUCAAAUGGCAGUCAUGGAGGAAACUUUCCUUUCCUUCCUCAUCCACAAAGCUGAUCGAUGGGCGCUAAAGCCCCGGGGGAGCAGCAUCUGUUGUAACUCAAGGAUCCCCACUCGAGCUGAGGAUGAAAUUAACAGACGUGGAGCAGCUUGCAGCUCAACAUUUGUUCAAGUCUGGCACGUGCACACAUCAUUAGCAACUAUAUUUGAGGAGCAAGAUCAAGGAGGUGAGGAGGAGAAUGGAUCUGAUGAAAGGAAUAUUCAAGAAAGAGGAAAUUCAGAGCAUUUAGGUAAAGCUUCAUAGCUAAAAUAAAUGAACUAGAGAGCAGAGCAAACAGCCAGGGACAUUGGAUAAUUUUGCCUCUGCAACUUCCCAAACAAAGUCAUUUCAGGCGGUGAAUUCCCCAGAGCGGCUGCCUCUCUUACUUCAGCUCCAUGGGCUGUCUCUCCAUUAAAAUUCGAGGGCAAAGAUUUUUCUGUCCUGUUCACUGCUGUAAUCUGGGCUCGUAGUAGAUAAAAUUAAAUAUGCAUGGAAUAAGUUAAUGUAUACUUGCUCAAAGCUUGCCUUGACCUGAGCUAGGCAAAUAAGGUCUGAGAUGUUCUGCAGGAAUCAAAAGCAAUAUGCAUGCCAAAAGAAUGGCAUCUUCCAACGAAAACUGGUUGUUAAUUAAAGGGUACGGAAUUAGUGGUGAAAUCUCAUUGGAAUGCCUCUCAUGUGCCCACUGUUACUCGAGGCCACAGAGGAGAUACAAUAGACACACAAUCACAAGGAACAGUGAACCUUUGCCGAGGGCUUGCUUUGGCCAAGCAUGUGCUAAGCUCAUUACUCACAUUGGCGUGUCUGAGUCUCAGCACCACCCAGGGGGCAGGUAGGUACAAACAUCAAGGCAACUUGUAACAGGUCAAUUUUGUAAUGUGCCCAGAGUCCUCCAGAGAGGGAAUGGUGGAGCUGGGAGUCCUUCUUCUAUGUGCCUCACUGCUAUUCUCUGUGGUCCUUUAGGA